rnacentral:rRNA from 1 species
AACGAACGCUGGCGGCGUGCCUAACACAUGCAAGUCGUGCGAGAAAGUUCCUUCGGGAGCGAGUAAAGCGGCGCACGGGUGAGUAACACGUAGGUAACCUGCCCCCCAGUCUGGAACAACUAGAGGAAACUCUAGCUAAUGCCGGAUGAGACCACGAUCCCUUCGGGGGUUGCGGCCAAAGAUGGCCUCUACUUGUAAGCUAUCGCUGAGGGAUGGGCCUGCGGGCCAUUAGCUUGUUGGUGAGGUAACGGCUCACCAAGGCUGUGAUGGCUAGCUGGUCUGAGAGGAUGACCAGCCACACUGGGACUGAGACACGGCCCAGACUCCUACGGGAGGCAGCAGUGGGGAAUAUUGCGCAAUGGGGCGAAAGCCUGACGCAGCGACGCCGCGUGGGUGAUGAAGGCCU